AUACGUAGGUGGCAAGCGUUGUCCGGAUUUAUUGGGCGUAAAGGCGAGCGCAGGCGGAAAAAUAAGUCUAAUGUGAAAGCCCUCGGCUUAACCGAGGAACUGCAUCGGAAACUGUUUUUCUUGAGUGCAGAAGAGGAGAGUGGAACUCCAUGUGUAGCGGUGGAAUGCGUAGAUAUAUGGAAGAACACCAGUGGCGAAGGCGGCUCUCUGGUCUGCAACUGACGCUGAGGCUCGAAAGCAUGGGUAGC
rnacentral:rRNA from 1 species